AACGCGAAGAACCUUACCUGGGCUCGAAAUGUACCGGAAUCCGGCAGAAACGUCGGCGUCUAGCAAUAGACCGGUAUAUAGGUGCUGCAUGGCUGUCGUCAGCUCGUGUCGUGAGAUGUUGGGUUAAGUCCCGCAACGAGCGCAACCCUUAUCUCCAGUUGCUACCAUUUAGUUGAGCACUCUGGCGAAACCGCCUCGGAUAACGGGGAGGAAGGUGGGGAUGACGUCAAGUCCUCAUGGCCUUUAUGUCCAGGGCUACACACGUGCUACAAUGGCCGGUACAAACCGCUGCAAACCCGCGAGGGGGAGCUAAUCGGAAAAAGCCGGCCUCAGUUCGGAUUGGAGUCUGCAACUCGACUCCAUGAAGCUGGAAUCGCUAGUAAUCGUGGAUCAGCAUGCCACGGUGAAUACGUUCCCGGGCCUUGUA
rnacentral:rRNA from 1 species